rnacentral:rRNA from 1 species
GGCCCUUGCGCUAUCAGAUGAGCCUAGGUGGGAUUAGCUAGUNGGUGNGGUAAUGGCUCNCCAAGGNGACGAUCNGUAACUGGUCUGAGAGGAUGCUCACCGUCACACUGGAUCUGAGACACGGUCCAGACUCCCUACGGGAGGCACGCAGUGGGGAAUAUUGGCACAAUGGGCGAAAGCCUGAUCCAGCCAUGCCGCGUGUGUGAAGAAGGUCUUCGGAUUGUAAAGCACUUUAAGUUGGGAGGAAGGGCAGUUACCUAAUACUGUAUCUGUUUUGACGAGACCGACCAGAAUUA